rnacentral:lncRNA from 1 species
GUGCUGAGAGCCUAGCUUGCCUUUCUGCCUGCCUGGACAUGUAGGUUCUUAUAUGCACAGGCAGGUGAACCUUCAGGUUGGGGGCUCUAAAAUAUGGCUGAACAGAAGUGUGAGUUGCCCGCCAUUUGCUGCUAGGGCCCUACUAACUGUUGUUAGAUCUCAGGGGAAUUGUCUAAGUCUCUGUUUCUUCUGGCUAUUUUUUGGAAUGGCUCUUGAUCUUGAGAGGGCAGUAUCUUCUGCACCCUCUGUGGGGACACCAUGGGAUUUUCCAUUGCCUCCAGGAAUAAUUAUUGUUUGUCCAGGCUGAAAAUGGACAACAUAUUCAAAAGAAUUUUUUUUAAGUCGCUCUGUGGUCAGAAGUUGGCCACAUUGGAGGCUGCUAUUUAGAGCCUGAUAGGAACUUUUUUUCAGGCCUUCUCCCCUAAGUGAAAAUGAAACUAUAUACCCAGAGGGAAAGAAAAAUUCUCUGAAGCUGUUUAUGGAAGGAUUUACUAAAACAUUCUCAAGACACACAGCUCAAAAUCUAAGACAUAAGAAUCUUUGAUUUCUAUCAUAGUUGAAGGUCUUCUACCUAAUAUAAAGAAGAAAAUUGAUGAUAUGGUUGGAUGUGUUCAUAAACUUACCACACUAUAGAAUGCUAUUGCAACAGGCUCAAAAGCUGCUUACUGCUAAAUAAUUUCACUAGAAAUGAAUGUUUCUAAGAAUUCUAAUCAAUAUAUGCAAUUCGAACUACUACGAGAGCUAAGGCCAAAAGAAAACACCUGUACAUGAAAAAUAUGUUUGAAAAAAGUUGAAUGUGUAUUCAGAAAAGGAAAAGUAUGAAGGAAAUGUUUUAUUUUUGUUGUUGUUAAGGUGUAAAAAAGAGAGUAACUGUGACUUAAAGUAAAAUGACUGGUCAUUCCAGAGUGAGAAGGAGGAAAAGCAAGAAUGGAUAAGAGUGUUGCAGAAAAGGAAUCUUGGGUAAGGAAUGUUAUGUGUGGUCAAGCUGGUUAAGAUAUUUUAAUUUUAAAAGAAUGUGUCUUAAUAUCAAAACUACACUGGUGCAAAAUUAGAAUCUGUUGUCUUUUUUUUUUCUGUGUUAGAAGGACAAAAUGCACCUGGGUGGCCCAGUUGGUUUAAGUGUCUGACUCCUGAUUUCAGCUCUGGGCAUGAUUUCAUGGUUCAUAGGAUAGAGCCCCACAUUGGGCUCUGUGCUGACAGUACAAAGCCUGCUUGGGUUUCUAUCUCCUCUCUCCCUCUGCCUCUCGUCCUCCUCUAUCUCUCUCCCUCUCUCUCUCUCUCUAAUAAAUAAAUAAUUUUUUUAAAAGAACAAAAUGCUCUUGGACUACUGAUCUGCUCUUGAUAAGAGAUUGUGGAAGGUGUGUGUGUGUGUGUGUGUGUGUGUGUGUGUGUGCAUGUGUUUUAACCAUUUAAAUAACCUCCCUAGAAAACCAAGAUCUUGUGUCUUAAAAUUAUUUCUUGUGCCUCACGUUAUCUUUCUCAGGUUUCUCAUUACUUAAGAAAAUCUACUCUUCUCAAUAUUAAGAGCUAAGUUUUGUCCAAAACUAUGUAACCUUCUGUAUUUGCCUUUAAAAUCUUCUAUUGCCACUUUGGUUAAAUAGUUAUUAUUACAUAACUUUGUGUGAUCCUAUUUAGUCAGAUAUUUAAAACUUUUGAUGUUUUAACAACUUCCCAAAAUCAAAUUCUAAAUGGAGUCUAUUUGACUUCAAAGUAACUUGGAGAUUUCCCAGAAGGCCCCUGAAAAAAAAAAAUCUCAAAGAAUUUGUCUCCAUCUUGUAAACGAGAAAUAUUAAACUAUUAUGGUUUACUUGGUAUGUUAAAUGCCAUGGGAAGCAUUACCAAGCAAGAAGUGAUAAUAAACCUUAUUAGGGCACAUGUGUAUGGUUAUAUGUUACUGAUAUAGGUAUUCCAGAAAUUGUGUGAAGUUUCUAAAAAUUUGUUAGUACUCUCACUGUCCAAUUAUUAUUCUAAAUUAUUGUAUGCCAUGGAAAUAACUGCAUUUCCUUAUCAAAUGAACUCUCAGCUUUAAACGUGGCAUGCAUGGAGAGAGAGAGAGAGAGAGAACCAGGGAGGGGCAGAGAGAAAGGGACAGAGAGAAUCUCAAGUGCCUGUCACGAACCGCGAGAUCAUGACCUGAGCUGAAACCAAGAGUCAGACACUUAACCGACUAAGUCACUCAGAUGCCCCUAACCACAGCCAUUUUUUAAAAAGUCCUUUUGUCAUUUGCAGCUAUUUACUCUGAAACUUUUGCAAAAAUGCUUCAUCUUCAGGAGAUUCAUGGAAAAGACUCUGAGAACAACUCUGGAAUACAGAUUUCUGAUAACUUGAAGAUCAUGGAACUGAAUGGGAGAAGAGUUUCCAGAACUAAUGGAAAAACUGGGUUCAAGAAAAUGAG